GACAGAGGGUGCAAACGUUGCUCGGAAUUACUGGGCGUAAAGCGCGUGUAGGCGGUCACGCAAGUCAGGUGUGAAAGCCCUGGGCUCAACCCAGGAAGUGCACAUGAUACUACGUGGCUGGAGUACUGAAGAGGAGAGCGGAAUUCCCGGUGUAGAGGUGAAAUUCGUAGAUAUCGCUUGGAACGCCAAAGGUGAAAACAGGUUGCUGGGGUUGUGCCGACGCUGAGACACGAAAGCCAGGGGAGCAAACGGG
rnacentral:rRNA from 1 species